rnacentral:rRNA from 1 species
AGGACGAACGCUGGCGGCGUGCUUAACACAUGCAAGUCGAACGAGGCCCUACCUUCGGGUAGGUGACCUAGUGGCGAACGGGUGAGUAACACGUGGGCAACCUACCCUCAGCUCUGGGAUAACCCCGGGAAACCGGAGCUAAUACCGGAUAUGACCUUGAACGACAUCGUUCUUGGUGGAAAGUUUUUUCGGCCGAGGAUGGGCCCGCGGCCUAUCAGCUUGUUGGCGGGGUAAUGGCCCACCAAGGCGACGACGGGU